UUGAUACUUUGUGCAUUAGAUCACCCCAAAGGAUCAGCAACGAUUCCAGUCUUCAUAUGCUUUGGUGCUUAAAGCUCAUAUGAAGGCAUUGAAGAAGAGAGAAAGGAAGGACAAGAAGAAAGCUGCUGAUGGUGACAAGAAAGAGGGAGAAGUGAAGAAACCAAAGAAGUCAGAUGCAGCUCCAAAACCAGCACAGUAGAGUUCUUGUGAGAUGGAGGUACUGUGUAGUUGGGAGGUCUUGCACAUCUGGAACACAAGGAUAGAUGGAAGGUCUUGCGCAUCUGGAGCAGGAGGUUAAAUAUUAUUAGUAAUUAUUAAGGCAUGAAAGAGGGAAAUUUGCUUUCAAUUAUUUUAGAAUUGCUCAAGUCCCAAGCUUGGUUGGCAUUCGUGCUGUUUUUUUUUUAAUUUCUUCAAGCUUCUGUCUUGUUGCCUGCAAAAUCUUUUCAUUGAAGUUUUUGUGCUUUUAAAGAAAUAUAUAAGAAUUUUAUCCAA